UAAUACGAAGGGUGCGAGCGUUGUUCGGAAUUACUGGGCGUAAAGGGUUCGUAGGCAGAAAUGUAAGUCAAGUGUGAAAUCCCCGAGCUAAACUUGGGACGUGCACUUGAAACUGUGUUUCUUGAGUAUCGUAGAGGGUGGUGGAAUUGUAGGUGUAGGAGUGACAUCCGUAGAGAUCUGCAGGAACAUCAGAGGCGAAGGCGACCACCUGGCCGAUAACUGACGCUGAGGAACGAAAGCGUGGGGAGCAAACAGG
rnacentral:rRNA from 1 species